rnacentral:lncRNA from 1 species
UUUUAUUUGCUCAUUUAAUGCCAAUUGCCCUCUUUCUCUGUUUGUCACUCAUUCGCUUAUACUUAGGGAAAAAGUACCAAUUUGUACACUGAUGAGUCUAGUGCAUUUUUUCCCCUCUAUCUCUCUAUGUCUCACACACACUGACCAACACACAGACAUGUAUAUGCUCAUUAAUGCUGUUUAAACUGAUGGUCAAAUUUCCAAGCACCACCUGAACGCCUCAUCUGUUUUCAACCCAUCACUGGACCAACUGUCGUCAUUCCGCUUUGCUCUCUGCUGUGGAACUUGACUGACAUCUGUGCUUUGCCUGGUAGGUGUGCACAUACUUGUGCAGAAGAAGAACAAGGACCAGAUCUCCAGUCUUCUCUCUCACAUCCCAACCCCCCAACCCCUCUAUCCUCUGUCCUACUCCACCUGUUGUCUCUGCCUUCUUUCCAUCUGUAUUUCACCCUGUGGUUUGUGAGAAAUUUUGCCAAACCAAGAAUCUUAUUGCGGUUUGAUUUCAAAGCCGUGUCUCUCCUGCUCUGUCUGUUCUCUCCGCUAAAUUUUCUCUCUACCUGUUUUUCACUCUUUGGCUUGCUGCUGAAAAAUGCACAAGCCAAUAAAGCAAUAAAGAGUGCAUAUUUUGCCUCAACCUAUGAACAAACUGAACAAACAAAGAAAACUCUAAUUCACGGUUAAUUGAGAUUUCCCAGCCGUGUCUUUCCUGCUCUGUCUGUUCUCUCUUCUAAAUUUUCUCUCUACCUGUUUUUCACUCUUGGCUUGCUGCUGAAAAAUGCCAAGCCAUUAAAGCAAUAAAGAGUGCAUAUUGCCUCUACCUGAGAACAAACUGAACAAACAAAGAAAACUCUAAUUCACGGUUUGAUUGUGAUUUCCCAGCCGUGUCUCUCCUGCUCUGCCUGUUCUCUCUUCUAGAUUUUCUCUCUACCUGUUUUUCAUUCUGGGCUUGCUGCUAAGUUGUGCCAAGCCAAUAAAGAGAGUGCAUAAUACUCUCUCGACUGAAGAACAAACUGUCAAACAAAGACAACUGUUUCUGAGAAAUAAAAACUAAAAUAUAAAAACAAAGACAACAUCUCCUGGUGUGUGCCACUCUUAUCUUGUGAACAUAUUUUCUGAAGACUAAGAA